UAAGCAGGUGCAAAUUUACCCCAGGCGGCUUCAGAUCAUUGUACGCUGACUCCCAUGCUGCCUGCUCAGUGGGGGGCACCCUCAACAGAAGCUCCUGAAGGAGCCAUCUAAGGAGGCUCCUAACCAGAUCCUCAGAUCAUACCGGCUUCACUGGGGCCUUUAUGCUGUUGCUUACAAUACGCUGCACAAAGGGACAGAAGGAAGAUGUGAAGAAGGAGACAGACCUGGGGGUCCAACCUCAAGGCGAAAGGGAGCAUGGAGCCCAAUGUCAGAGCACACUACCUGUUUAAUACCUCAAGAAGGAGGGUGAGCAGAAACUGUCACCAAGAGUGAGGAAGAAACAUGAAAGAAAUUGCUACAUUGAAAGCAGAACAAUAAAGCAACUUCCUAGCUUUA